AGAAAGCAAUGACUAGAGCCAAAAAUAAAAAAGAUAGACGUUGCCACGGGUAUGGUAAAGUAGGCCAAUCACAUGAUAAGCGAAAUUGUCAGGCACUCACAAAUCCGUCUUCUACAUGCGGUGAUACAAAUCUGCAAGAGGGUAAUGAGUCAUCAAGUGAAGAUGUGGAUCUUUUUGAAGAUUAAGAGGGAGCUUGACAAUCAGGAGCUUGAAUCAAGACAUUCUAAGAUGUAUCAAUAUUAGCCUUGACAAUCAGGAGCUUGAAUCAGGAGUGUGUUUCUUCUUAUAAUUCGC